AUAUCGGAACAUACCCUAGAGUGGGGGAUAACGUAGCGAAAGUUACGCUAAUACCGCAUACGAACUAAGGUUGAAAGUGGGGGAUCGUAAGACCUCAUGCUCAUGGAGUGGCCGAUAUCUGAUUAGCUAGUUGGUGAGGUAAAGGCUCACCAAGGCGACGAUCAGUAGCUGGUUUGAGAGAACGACCAGCCACACUGGAACUGAGACACGGUCCAGACUCCUACGGGAGGCAGCAGUGGGGAAUUUUGGACAAUGGGCGCAAGCCUGAUCCAGCAAUGCCGCGUGAGUGAAGAAGGCCUUCGGGUUGUAAAGCUCUUUUGUCAGGGAAGAAACGGUUGUGGCUAAUAUCCAUGGCUAAUGACGGUACCUGAAGAAUAAGCACCGGCUAACUACGUGCCAGCAGCCGCGGUAAUACGUAGGGUGCAAGCGUUAAUCGGAAUUACUGGGCGUAAAGCGUGCGCAGGCGGUUAUAUAAGUCAGAUGUGAAAUCCCCGGGCUCAACCUGGGAACUGCAUUUG
rnacentral:rRNA from 1 species